rnacentral:lncRNA from 1 species
GUUUUAGCCCAUGUCCCACAUGGGCUACAAAAAGCCAGUUCACUAGGGUGAAUUGGGCUGGCACGACAAAACACACAAACAUUUAGACUUUUGGGGGGCGUUUCAGAAUGGUUCUUCUGUCUCAACUGCAAAGCUAACACAAGUAAGGGCAAGAGAAAAGCAAGGGAGGCAGGCAACAGAGAAGGAGCAUGCCCCAAACCUUGGUUUUUAUUGGGGGAGGGUGUUCAGAAGAACAUUUCAUCCAAAUAAGGCAGAAAGGGUAGUGUUAAAGGAGAACAGGGUAACAUCCACUCCCAGAGCUGCAGUCCCCAGGCUAGCAAAGGUGAGGUCCACCAGCUUUUGUGCGCAACAGAAGCCAGUUCCACACCUCCAUCCCUCAAGGCUAAGGUGUUGUGCUCAGUUCCUACGUGGCAGUUCCUGAUAAUGUUCCCUGCCUUGUUAAUGGGAAGUAAUAUCUAUAUGUGUCCUUAUCCAACAUGGUAUCCCAUUUACUCUCUGUAAAUUGCACAGAAAUUAAAGGACAAAUAUAUCCUUGUUUUUUGUGGUGAUAGGGGCCUGAUUCCCAGCAUUUAGAGGCCAGAGGGGAAUUUUCCUGGUGAAGACAGAACUCCAGGAAAGUAACUAUCUUCAUCCUUACCUAUCUGUUUUCUUCUUGUCUCCUGAUCCUUUCCUACAUCUACAGUCACAGUUCUGGAGACUUCCCCAGUGUCCAGGACUAGGGGGUACCUCUCAGACCUGUUUCCAAGCUGCUCUCUCACAGGCGACUUUCUUCCCACAGGUGUAAAACCAGACACCUAUGCUCCAGCUGCCUGUAAGUAUGAAGAACACUGAUCUCUGAGACACCUGGGUAACUGUAGUGGAAAGCCAUGGGGGAGCUGAUCCACCCAUAAUUCAUCCAUUAGCCACGUCUCCUGUGGACUCUGACCAUGUUCUGUUUUUGCUCUGCUCAGGUAAUGAAAGUUCCCAGGGCUCUGAUGUGUCUCUCACUGGUUAAAAAGGUGAGACCUUGGAGGGCCUUGAGGGAGAAGAGUUGAGGUAUGGGGAGACUCUGAGUUACAGGGACUGUCCCAGCAAUUUCUGAUAUUUUAAGUAUUUAAUGGGUUGUUCAGAGUGUCUUCAUUGCAAUGACUUAUCUGAAUUUGUUCAUAAUACUUUCUUUUACAGUAUUUUCUUUCAACUGAGUAAUACAGGAUUUCUUCAGUUCUCUUCCUGCUCCCUGCUGCAGUUUCAAGAGGUCCCAACUUCUCUUUGUGCAGCUGGCAAUUAACUGUGUCUAUGUGUCUGUGUUCCUGUCAUCAGAUUAUAAGGAAAUGGAGACAGGCGCUCGUCUUUGAUCACCAAGACCCCUCCCUACACUGUCCUGUUCUCUUCCUCAAUUAACUUUCCUAUGAAGCAAAUACAGGUCUGGGACGUCUUCAUUCCUGGUAGCUUUAUGUUGCCCUGGGCUCUAGACUUUUCCUUGCCUUUUGGAAAAGAGAAUGUGUAUAUUGAUUUGUAUUUCACAUUUGUGCCAUGAAUUAUGGUUGUGGGUUAAUUACAUGAAAAGAGGAUUCCUCAAAUUUCUGAGAGAAAAUAAAACCCCAAACCUUCCAGAAUCCACAUGUUUGCUGUGCUGACUCUGCCUCAGGUGGGGACAGGAGAAAGAUGAAAGGAGCUGAAGGUGGACAAAGCAGCACCCAAUCUGUGAUAG